AUUGAACGCUGGCGGCAUGCCUUACACAUGCAAGUCGAACGGCAGCACGGGAGCAAUCCUGGUGGCGAGUGGCGAACGGGUGAGUAAAGUAUCGGAACGUGCCCAGUCGUGGGGGAUAACGUAGCGAAAGUUACGCUAAUACCGCAUACGAUCUACGGAUGAAAGCGGGGGAUCGCAAGACCUCGCGCGAUUGGAGCGGCUGAUAUCAGGUUAGGUAGUUGGUGGGGUAAAGGCUCACCAAGCCGACGAUCUGUAGCUGGUCUGAGAGGACGACCAGCCACACUGGGACUGAGACACGGCCCAGACUCCUACGGGAGGCAGCAGUGGGGAAUUUUGGACAAUGGGCGCAAGCCUGAUCCAGCCAUGCCGCGUGCAGGAUGAAGGCCUUCGGGUUGUAAACUGCUUUUGUACGGAACGAAAAGGUUUGGCCUAAUAAGCUGGACCCAUGACGGUACCGUAAGAAUAAGCACCGGCUAACUACGUGCCAGCAGCCGCGGUAA
rnacentral:rRNA from 1 species